UACGUAGGGGGCAAGCGUUGUCCGGAUUUAUUGGGCGUAAAGGGCUCGUAGGCGGCCAACUAAGUCAGACGUGAAAUCCCCAGGCUCAACCUGGGAACUGCGUCUGAUACUGGAUGGCUUGAAUCCGGGAGAGGGAUGCAGAAUUCCAGGUGUAGCGGUGAAAUUCGUAGAUAUCGGGAGGAACACCAGUGGCGAAGGCGGCGACCUGGGCCAAUAUUGACGCUGAGGUGCGAAAGCGUGGGGAGCAAACAGG
rnacentral:rRNA from 1 species